UCUUUUGCUGGUGUAGCUCGUCCGGUUACCUUCAGGAAGAUUGGAUAACCAAGAAAUGACUAAUCAGGAGUCUGCCGUACAUGUGAAAAUGAUGCCAGAAUUCCAGAAAAGUUCAGUUCGAAUCAAGAACCCUACAAGAGUAGAAGAAAUUAUCUGUGGUCUUAUCAAAGGAGGAGCUGCCAAACUUCAGAUAAUAACGGACUUUGAUAUGACACUCAGUAGAUUUUCAUAUAAAGGGAAAAGAUGCCCAACAUGUCAUAGUAAGUGUGAUAUUUGUAAACAAAUUCACAAAAGCAUGUCAUCAUUAUUUUAAGAUCCUCUUUAUAUUACCUGUGAGAUAACUGGGUUUUUAAAAUUCUUCUUGGACAUUGACAGUGAGGAGACCUGCUUUUUCUUACUAUAUUUUUGAGGUUUUUUUCCCAUAUUAUAUAAAUGGUUAUUUUCAUGUAUGGUUUUGGUAGCAAAGGGAAUCAGAGACUCCUGAAAUAUUUCUUGCCAAAUAUGGUCUAUUCAUUAUUCAAGAAAUAUUUAAAUAGGUUGUAAACUUUGGGUUAACCUGAAGAAACACCAUUUAUCAAA
rnacentral:sRNA from 1 species